CGGGUGAGUAACGCGUGAGGAACCUGCCUCAAAGAGGGGGACAACAGUUGGAAACGACUGCUAAUACCGCAUAAGCCCACGGCUCGGCAUCGAGCAGAGGGAAAAGGAGCAAUCCGCUUUGAGAUGGCCUCGCGUCCGAUUAGCUAGUUGGUGAGGUAACGGCCCACCAAGGCGACGAUCGGUAGCCGACCUGAGAGGGUGAUCGGCCACAUUGGAACUGAGACACGGUCCAA
rnacentral:rRNA from 1 species